UUGACAGUGAUUCUCGGAAGUGCGAUUCUCUAGCUGCUAAACAUCGAGAAGGGCUUCCGUGACGGCGACGUUCGGGAGCUUUUUCUUUUGC
rnacentral:antisense_RNA from 1 species